rnacentral:rRNA from 1 species
AAUUGAUUAUGACGUACUUGUACUGAUUGAGAUUUUAACACGAAGUGAGUGGCGAACGGGUGAGUAACACGUGGGUAACCUGCCCAGAAGUAGGGGAUAACACCUGGAAACAGAUGCUAAUACCGUAUAACAGAGAAAACCGCAUGGUUUUCUUUUAAAAGAUGGCUCUGCUAUCACUUCUGGAUGGACCCGCGGCGUAUUAGCUAGUUGGUGAGGUAAAGGCUCACCAAGGCAGUGAUACGUAGCCGACCUGAGAGGGUAAUCGGCCACAUUGGGACUGAGACACGGCCCAGACUCCUACGGGAGGCAGCAGUAGGGAAUCUUCCACAAUGGACGCAAGUCUGAUGGAGCAACGCCGCGUGAGUGAAGAAGGGUUUCGGCUCGUAAAGCUCUGUUGUUAAAGAAGAACGUGGGUAAGAGUAACUGUUUACCCAGUGACGGUAUUUAACCAGAAAGCCACGGCUAACUACGUGCCAGCAGCCGCGGUAAUACGUAGGUGGCAAGCGUUAUCCGGAUUUAUUGGGCGUAAAGCGAGCGCAGGCGGUCUUUUAAGUCUAAUGU